AUGGACCUGACCUCCGACCUCCAGGUCCUCCCCAUUCCUGAUCAGCGGCUCUGUAUCUUCCAGCCUCCUAGCACGCUUCUUGCAUACAGUAAGGAAUUGAUAAUCUGCAGCUUAGAGCUUCAAAUGAAAGCCCCUGUGGGAGGAAGUGUUAGAUGCCAAAGAAGGAAUGCACUGCAAUUUAACUCCAAAGUCUCAAAGCAGGACAUGUCUUUCACUGCCCAUGAAGAAUAGUAAAUAGUCGGCCAGGCACAGUGGCUCGCACCUCUAAUCCCAGCACUUUGGGCAUACCACCUGAGGUCAGGAGUUCGAGACCAGCCUGGCCAACAUGGUGAAACCCUAUCUCUACUAAAAAUACAAAAAUUAGCUGGGCAUGGUGGCGCAGACCUGCAAUCCCAGCUACUCAGGAGGCUGAGGCAGGAGAAUUGUUUGAAGGUGAGACGCAGAGAUUGCAGUGAACUGAGAUCGCACCAUUGCACUCCAACCUGGGCGACAGAGCAAGACUCUGUCUCAAAAGAGGAAAUAGUUUCUUUUAGAGAAGUCCUCGGAAAUACAACGUGCUCUAGAUUGUGCCUGUGCUAACAUACUGAAGGACUGAGAGCACCACCGCUGUGGGCACCAGGAAGAACGCGAACCAGGGUAGCCCACCAUCCCCACGGCCAACACCUCGUUCCAGACACUUCUGCACUCCUGAAGGGACAGUGCAUAGGUCCUAUAUGAAAGGCCCCAGUCUGUAGCAUCUUAAACUUGGUCUACAUCAGACUUCCUUUAAGCGUCACUUGGAUUCCAGAGAUCACUUGCAUCGAGUGGAAACAUCAGGAGCACACUAAGAGCUUUGGAAAGGCAGAUGCGGAAGAAGUUCAUUGCAGUAUGAAGAGCUUCUGUCUAAGAAGGCUGGGGAAAGCUGGUAAGAAAGGAAACCAUCUUGGCCAGGCGUAGUGGCUCACGCAUGUAAUCCCAGCACUUUGGGAGGUCAAGGAAGGCAGAUCACAAGGUCAGUAGUUCAAGACCAGCCUGACUAACAUGGCAAAACCCCGUCUAAGCUAAUACAAAAUUUAGCCGGGUGUGGUGGCGCACGCCUGUAAUCCCAGAUGCUUGGGAGGCUGAGGCAGGAGAAUCACUUGAACCUGGGAGGCGGAGAUUGCAGUGAGCUGAGACCACGCCGUUGCACUCCAGCCUGGGCUACAGAGCGAGACUCCAUCUAAAAAAAAAAAAAAAAAAGAAAGGAAACUCUCUUACCUCAGUCUCAUCUCAGACACCUAGACAUCUUUCAGAUCCAUAGUUGACUCUCAGGAGUGGAGAAGAGAAGCUAUUCCGACACUGUUCUAGGCAUUUCCAUUAUUACCCGCAACCUCCUUACAAAAAAACAAGCCAUGGGGAUUACUUGUUUCCUAUGAAAUCUCCAACACUCAGCAUAGUGCCUAGCCCAUAAUAGGCGCCCAAUAAACGUUGAGUAGAUAAGUGAAUGAAUGACAACCAAACAAAACGGUCAGUGGAUCCAUUUGCUCAAACUGCUUUAAGGAUCAAAUCAAUUACAACUUUAAGCCAAAUAAGUCUCCUGCUUGUUUUAUUAUGGAGGUGAAGCCAAGAGUUGAUUCGGUCAUGUGCUAUUUUACUGUAUUCAUUGAAAUAGUUUGGGUCCCAAGCACAGACUUUAGAUAGUUGAGGGCAAGGAUUAUACACCAUUUGCCCUCCUUUUCAUCCAAAUGCCAGCUGAUAUGCUAGGAGGUGAUUAGAUAGAGGAAUCUUGAGAUGACAAAUAUUUAAAUUUUUCUUUAGUAAAUGAUCUUUCUCCAUUAAUCACAUUUAACAUAGAGUAUUUUGCCAAUAGAAAUAAUCCCAAGUGAAUUGAGUGCAUAUUUGAUGUGACCUUUUCAACUGAAAAAAAGGGCUUCUGUUAGUAUCAUACACAGAACUUUCAGUGCACUUACGCUUGCAAAACCAACUGUAGUUUUUGUAAAAUGCAUCUAAGAAUGAGAAUUUCUCAUUAAAAAAAAAAAUUGGCCGGGUGCGCUGGCUUACACCUGUUGUAAUCCCAGCACUUUGGGAAGCUGAGGUGGGUGGAUCACAGGAGGUCAGGAGUUUGAGACCAGCCUGGCCAACGUGCUGAAAGCCUGUCUCU
rnacentral:lncRNA from 1 species